rnacentral:rRNA from 1 species
GACGAACGCUGGCGGCGUGCUUAACACAUGCAAGUCGAACGGAAAGGCCCUGCUUGCAGGGUACUCGAGUGGCCAACGGGUGAGUAACACGUGGGUGAUCUGCCCUGCACUUCGGGAUAAGCCUGGGAAACUGGGUCUAAUACCGGAUAGGAGCCAUCUUUAGUGUGAUGGUUGGAAAGUUUUUUCGGUGUAGGAUGAGCUCGCGGCCUAUCAGCUUGUUGGUGGGGUAAUGGCCUACCAAGGCGGCGACGGGUAGCCGGCCUGGGAGGGUGGACGGCCACAUUGGGGCUGAGAUACGGCCCAGACUCCUACGGGGGGCAGCAGGGGGGAAUAUUGCACAAUGGGCGCAAGCCUGAUGCAGCGACGCCGCGGGGGGGAUGACGGCCUUCGGGUUGUAAACUCCUUUCGCUAGGGACGAAGCUGUGUGUGACGGUACCUAGAUAAGAAGCACCGGCUAACUACGUG